rnacentral:rRNA from 1 species
GAUGAACGCUAGCUACAGGCUUAACACAUGCAAGUCGAGGGGAAACGGCAUUGAGUGCUUGCACUCUUUGGACGUCGACCGGCGCACGGGUGAGUAACGCGUAUCCAACCUUCCCAUUACUGUGGGAUAACCUGCCGAAAGGCAGACUAAUACCGCAUAGUCUUCGAUGACGGCAUCAGAUUUGAAGUAAAGAUUUAUCGGUAAUGGAUGGGGAUGCGCCUGAUUAGCUUGUUGGCGGGGUAACGGCCCACCAAGGCGACGAUCAGUAGGGGUUCUGAGAGGAAGGUCCCCCACAUUGGAACUGAGACACGGUCCAAACUCCUACGGGAGGCAGCAGUGAGGAAUAUUGGUCAAUGGGCGCGAGCCUGAACCAGCCAAGUAGCGUGCAGGAUGACGGCCCUAUGGGUUGUAAACUGCUUUUGUAUGGGGAUAAAGUCAAUCACGUGUGAUUGUUUGCAGGUACCAUACGAAUAAGGACCGGCUAAUUCCGUGCCAGCAGCCGCGGUAAUACGGAAGGUCCGGGCGUUAUCCGGAUUUAUUGGGUUUAAAGGGAGCGUAGGCCGGAGAUUAAGUGUGUUGUGAAAUGUAGACGCUCAACGUCUGACUUGCAGCGCAUACUGGUUUCCUUGAGUACGCACAACGUUGGCGGAAUUCGUCGUGUAGCGGUGAAAUGCUUAGAUAUGACGAAGAACUCCGAUUGCGAAGGCAGCUGACGGGAGCGCAACUGACGCUUAAGCUCGAAGGUGCGGGUAUCGAACAGG